AUUGAACGCUGGCGGCAGGCUUAACACAUGCAAGUCGAGCGGAGAUGAGGUGCUUGCACCUUAUCUUAGCGGCGGACGGGCGAGUAAUGCUUAGGAAUCUGCCUAUUAGUGGGGGACAACAUUCCGAAAGGAAUGCUAAUACCGCAUACGUCCUACGGGAGAAAGCAGGGGAUCUUCGGACCUUGCGCUAAUAGAUGAGCCUAAGUCGGAUUAGCUAGGUGGUGGGGUAAAGGCCUACCAAGGCGACGAUCUGUAGCGGGUCUGAGAGGAUGAUCCGCCACACUGGGACUGAGACACGGCCCAGACUCCUACGGGAGGCAGCAGUGGGGAAUAUUGGACAAUGGGGGGAACCCUGAUCCAGCCAUGCCGCGUGUGUGAAGAAGGCCUUAUGGUUGUAAAGCACUUUAAGCGAGGAGGAGGCUACUGAGACUAAUACUCUUGGAUAGUGGACGUUACUCGCAGAAUAAGCACCGGCUAACUCUGUGCCAGCAGCCGCGGUAAUAC
rnacentral:rRNA from 1 species